rnacentral:lncRNA from 1 species
GUGUGUGUGUGUCUGGUGUGUGUGUGUGUGUGUGUGUUCUUCUGUUGGAGGUGUUCUAGAAACAGCAGCUCGGACUGUCAGAGCGGUCUGAUUGGUGAGGGGGGGGGGGGGGAAAACUUAGCUGUUAUUGGCAGAGAGAUUUCAAACCUCUCUUAUUGGUCUAUUAACCUAAUUAUGAUGUCACAAGGCAGGCCAAAAAAACUCCGCCCCAACCAAAAAACAGGAUUGAAAUUUCAGAGGGGUCUUUUCAAAUAACUCUUCCCACUAAAAUGACAUUAUCAAUUUCACAGUAUUAUUCCAACCUCAUAGCGUGGAAAUAUAUCAAUCACAGGAACGUUUUUUCACUGCCCUGGGCCUUUAAAAGAAGUUUAAUAAAAAAGUGACGAAUGUAAUAUUGUGUGGUAAAAAAAAAAAUGUUCUGUUGAAUUCUGUGUAAUUAUGAAUUUUGAUUUAAAAGAGAUGUUUUGAUUUGUAAAAUUCAUUUGAUCUGAAUUGAGAUGGAGAAAUAAAAAAAUAAAACGUUGAUUACCCCUAAAAAAAAUACUGAAAGGUUGAAUAAAAUGACAGAUAAAACUCGGUUCUGUUAUACUGCAGGUCUUUAUGUUCAGAUAAAAGGGGAGGUUUCCUUUAUGUUCAGAUAAAAGGGGAGGUUUCCUUUAUGUCCAGAUAAAAGGGGAGGUUUCCUUUAUGUUCAGAUAAAAGGGGAGGUUUCCUUUAUGUUCAGAUAAAAGGGGAGGUUUCCUUUAUGUUCAGAUAAAAGGGGAGGUUUCCUUUAUGUCCAGAUAAAAGGGGAGGUUUCCUUUAUGUUCAGAUAAAAGGGGAGGUUUCCUUUAUGUCCAGAUAAAAGGGGAGGUUUCCUUUAUGUUCAGAUAAAAGGGGAGGUUUCCUUUAUGUCCAGAUAAAAGGGGAGGUUUCCUUUAUGUCCAGAUAAAAGGGGAGGUUUCCUUUAUGUUCAGAUAAAAGGGGAGGUUUCCUUUAUGUUCAGAUAAAAGGGGAGGUUUCCUUUAUGUUCAGAUAAAAGGGGAGGUUUUCCUUUAUGUUCAGAUAAAAGGGGAGGUUUCAGUAUGCAGAUCAGGGACGAUAUACAGGACCAGUCAAAAUGUUGGACAACACCAACUCAAUCCAGGGUUUUUAUUUUAAUUGUAUUUUUCUACAUUGUAGAAUAAUAGUGACGACAUCAAAACUAUGAAAACAACCCCUAUUAAUAUAGAAUGUUCUCUGGGUUUAAUAGACAUAUUAAAAGAUUAGUCAUAUAACUUUUUUUAAAAUUAUUAUAAUUAUUAUUCCCUUUAAUGUGGCAUGAAACAGAACCAGUCCUGUUUUCAGCUGAUUGUCUAACAAUCCCUUCCCGAAAGAGAUCUGUCACACAAAACUAAAAACUAAAAAAGUGUGAUGUCAUUCAGUGAUUGUCAUUCGUAACCAUUCGGCUUGUAGCCUGAAUUGAUGCGUCCACUGCUGUAAACGCGCGUCGCGGUCCGUCUCCGUCCGUCUCCGUAGAAACGCAGUCUGGAGGGAAUUUACUGGCCGUUUUAAAUGUUUCAUUCGCUCAUUUUCGUG